rnacentral:rRNA from 1 species
UACGAGGGGUGCAAGCGUUGCUCGGAAUUAUUGGGCGUAAAGGGUAGGUAGGUGGUCUCGUUUGUCUGGGGUGAAAGCCUUGAGCUUAACUCAAGAAGUGCCCUAGAAACGGCGAGACUCGAGUCCUGGAGAGGGUCGUGGAAUUCCCGGUGUAGCGGUGAAAUGCGUAGAGAUCGGGAGGAACACCAGAGGCGAAGGCGGCGACCUGGACAGGUACUGACACUCAACUACGAAAGCGUGGGGAGCAAACAGG